UACAGAGACUGCAAGCGUUAUUCGGAUUCACUGGGCGUAAAGGGUGCGCAGGCGGCCAAGUGUGUCAGGUGUGAAAUCCCGGGGCUUAACUCCGAAACUGCGCCUGAAACUACUUGGCUAGAGCAUUGGAGAGGGAAGUGGAAUUCACGGUGUAGCAGUGAAAUGCGUAGAUAUCGUGAGGAACACCAGAGGCGAAGGCGACUUCCUGGACAAUUGCUGACGCUCAGGCACGAAAGCGUGGGGAGCCAAAGGG
rnacentral:rRNA from 1 species